rnacentral:sRNA from 1 species
CCCAUUCACUCAACUGUCAAAUUCACCCCACCCUCGAUCUCUUUGACACCAUUCCGAGCCAGCCGCCAUCACCAUCGUCCUCAUCGUCUCCCCUCACCCUCGAUCUCUCUGACACCACUCCGAGCCAGCCACCAUCACCAUCGUCAUCGCCGUCUCCCCUCACCCUCGAUCUCUCUGACACCACUCCGACUCUCCUCCCUUGAUCUAUCUGACACCUUACCCUUGCUCUAACCACAUUGUCGCGCGGGCUUCCAUGGCCUCGCCCCCGCUCAACUCGUAUAGCAGUCGUCGACAAUGUCGGUGGAGGUAUUGGAUCCGUGAGGAAGACGACGUAUCUAGUUCGAUUUGUGUGUCAAGGUCAGCGAGAAAUGCUUGAAGACGACGUCUCUGGUUCGAUCCGUGAGGAAGACGACGUCUCUGGUUCUCAUAGGGAUUCAAUUUUAUUUUAUUUUUUGAUGAAUUCGAAAUUGUAUUUGAAGAUUUUGUAUAGGAGAUGCUUGAUGGAAGUGGUGGGGAUCUCGGGGGUUGUGAAUGUUAGGGUUAGGGUUUUGCCCUCCAAAAAGGUCACGAAUGGGUUAUAGGUGUUGGAUUUGGCGAUGGUGGAUACUGGGAAGAAUCUGGAUAAUGAAAAUUAGGGGAAAAAAAAGUUUGUACCCGUAGGAACCAGCCCGUUUUAUACGGGCCGGGUUAGGUCCGAUUCUGAGUUUUAAAAUAAUAAAAUCCGCCCGGGCCCGGCCCGUUGUAUUUUCAAGCAGGUCCGGUUCU